GACGAACGCUGGCGGCGUGCUUAACACAUGCAAGUCGAACGGAAAGGCCCUUCGGGGUACUCGAGUGGCGAACGGGUGAGUAACACGUGGGUGAUCUGCCCUGCACUUUGGGAUAAGCCUGGGAAACUGGGUCUAAUACCGAAUAGGACCACGCGCUUCAUGGUGUGUGGUGGAAAGCUUUUGCGGUGUGGGAUGGGCCCGCGGCCUAUCAGCUUGUUGGUGGGGUAAUGGCCUACCAAGGCGACGACGGGUAGCCGGCCUGAGAGGGUGACCGGCCACACUGGGACUGAGAUACGGCCCAGACUCCUACGGGAGGCAGCAGUGGGGAAUAUUGCACAAUGGGCGCAAGCCUGAUGCAACGACGCCGCGUGAGGGAUGACGGCCUUCGGGUUGUAAACCUCUUUCAAUAGGGACGAAGCGCAAGUGACGGUACCUAUAGAAGAAGCACCGGCCAACUACGUG
rnacentral:rRNA from 1 species